rnacentral:rRNA from 1 species
UACGUAGGUGGCAAGCGUUGUCCGGAAUUAUUGGGCGUAAAGCGCGCGCAGGCGGCUUCUUAAGUCUGAUGUGAAAUCUCGGGGCUCAACCCCGAGCGGCCAUUGGAAACUGGGAAGCUUGAGUACAGGAAGAGGAGAGUGGAAUUCCACGUGUAGCGGUGAAAUGCGUAGAUAUGUGGAGGAACACCAGUGGCGAAGGCGACUCUCUGGUCUGUAACUGACGCUGAGGCGCGAAAGCGUGGGGAGCAAGCAGG